CAACUUUGGAACUGUCUUAUCUCUGGAUUGCUCAUUAAAUGAAAUGAUAGGUUGCUCACUGCCUUAGCUUCUUCUCGUUGAGCUUUCUAUUAUGGCCCACCAAAAGUACACAAAAGGAACAGACACCUUGCCACACACUGGGAAGUUCGUGCAGGCUUCUGAGUGGAAGUGCCUCUGUGAAUGAGGAGGAGGAGUUCACCAGAUCAGUCGGUGCGAGAAAGCAUUCCAAACAGUGGAAAGGCUCAGCGGUGGUGGCAGCGUCGGGCCUUCCCCUACCAGUCAGGCUAAAGCCAUCAGACUCUAUCCAGAGGGGAGUGAGAGCCGCAGGGAAAGAUGUGGUUUCGCUUUUUGGAAAGACCCCUCUGGAGGCAGUGAGCAGGAGGAAAGCAGGCGAGCUGACUCUGCCUCCUGUUCGGACCCGUCCACACCCGAAGCAUGGCUCCCUGUAGCGGGGUGAGCACCAGGGCUGCACCAAGGCCUCUGGCUGGAUGCAGUAGCCCUCACCACCCAGACCUCGGAGGAGGGACUUCGCUCCAGGAAGUGGCAAGGGUUUGAAGGAGAAGGUGAAAAAGGACGAAGCAGCCCUGCUGGAUGACUGCUGGCACCUGGCCUCUUGCUCCCGGCCAGGCUGUGCCGGUCCGGCCUGAACAUACACAGUUUCCCAGAAGGUCAGCGUCAGAUGAGGAUGCUCUGUGACGGUGAUGAAGCAAAACAGAAAACCAAAACCCCUCAUCCCGCCCAAGCAGGGAUGAAAACAGUGACCUCCCAAUGAGCAAACAGCCCCCGUCUGCCUGACCUGAGUGACCACUGCUCCAGUUCUCCCACCUCCUAGGUGAAAGACGCUCAAGCUCACGGUCGUAGGUGACGGUGUGCCUCCCUCUCCAAGGGACAGGUAACACACCCACGGGUGUGUCUGCCCGCAGAUCCCUCUGAUCCUUUUCUCUCCCCCGUUUCACAUGAUCCACCAUCCAGUCCCUGAGGCAGGAGAUGCCACCUUACAGCUCCAAACAGACCCCUUUCUCCCAGCCUGGGGUCCUGGGAACACAGAGAGCCAGAGGCCAAGGUAAGCGCUUUGCUGCAGACAGGCAUUCAGGGGCCCUAGGGGACAAGCAGGAAGGAAUUUGACUGAAUCCCCCCACUGUCUUCCAAACCACCGCAGGCCUGUCCCCAUCCCCUGUGGCUCCUUCCCUUGGGGUGAGCUUUGCAGGGUCUUCCAAGGCCCCUGCCACCACUGAGCCCCUUUCCUGCCCCGUCCCUGGCUUGGGUCUCUGUGUGAGAACCCUGCUGGGAGGUCCACCCCUCUGCCUCUUCCUGGUGGGAGUAACCAGCCACAGACCCCUCAGAGGCGGCCCCUGG